rnacentral:rRNA from 1 species
UACGAAGGGUGCAAACGUUGCUCGGAAUUAUUGGGCGUAAAGCGCACGUAGGCGGCAUAGCAAGUCGGAUGUGAAAUCCCUCGGCUUAACCAAGGAAGUGCAUCCGAAACUGCUGUGCUUGAGUACUUAAGAGGAUCGCGGAAUUCCCGGUGUAGAGGUGAAAUUCGUAGAUAUACGGGAGGAACACCAGUGGCGAAGGCGGCGAUCUGGGAAGAUACUGACGCUGAGGUGCGAAAGCGUGGGGAGCGAACAGG